AUGUUGGGGAAAUUACGGAGAGGAAAAAAUUGAAAGAGACUGAUUUAAACAGCAUUCGCAGAGAUUAUCCAAAUUUGGACUACUCCAAAUGUGAUGAUCUACAGGACAUUCUUAAUGGGAAAGUAGUGGGCAGAAAGGCAUGUCAAGC